rnacentral:rRNA from 1 species
GAUGAACGCUGACAGAAUGCUUAACACAUGCAAGUCUUUGGCGAAGCUGUGCUUGCACAGCCUAGCCAAGGCGGACGGGUGAGUAACGCGUAAGGAACUUGCCCUGCAGUCAGGGAUAACAGACGGAAACGACUGAUAAGACCUGGUAAAGUCAGGCGGACUCAUGUCCAGCCUGAUGAAAAGAGAUGCUGCAGGAGAGCCUUGCGUCCUAUUAGCUUGUUGGUGGGGUAACGGCCCACCAAGGCGAUGAUAGGUAGCCGGCCUGAGAGGGUGGACGGCCACAAGGGGACUGAGAUACGGCCCUUACUCCUACGGGAGGCAGCAGUGGGGAAUAGUGGACGAAGGGGGCAACCCUGAUCCAGCAAUUCUGUGUGCACGAUGAAGGUUUUCGGAUUGUAAAGUGCUUUCAGCAGGGAAGAAAAAAAUGACGGUACCUGCAGAAGAAGCGACGGCUAAAUACGUG